CACGUGAGAAUCUGGCUUCUGGAUGGGGACAACAGCGGGAAACGGCUGCUAAUACCCAAUGAGCCGCAAGGUAAAAGAUUUAUCGCCAGAAGAUGAGCUCGCGUCCGAUUAGCUAGUUGGUGGGGUAAAAGCCUACCAAGGCAGCGAUCGGUAGCUGGUCUGAGAGGAUGAGCAGCCACACUGGGACUGAGACACGGCCCAGACUCCUACGGGAGGCAGCAGUGGGGAAUUUUCCGCAAUGGGCGAAAGCCUGACGGAGCAAGACCGCGUGGGGGAGGAAGGCUCUUGGGUUGUAAACCC
rnacentral:rRNA from 1 species